rnacentral:rRNA from 1 species
UCUUUUUGUUAAUUAUUUAAGGUUUAAUCUGCUCACUGAUUUUUAAAGAGCCGCAGUAUUUUGACUGUGCAAAGGUAGCAUAAUCAAUAGUUUUUUAAUUGUAAACUGGAAUGAAUGAUUGGACAAAAUAUUUUUUUUCUUUGUUUUUUAUUUAGAAUUUAAAUUUUGAGUGAAAAUGCUUAAAUGUUUUUAUUAGACGAGAAGACCCUAUAGAUUUUUAUUAAUAAAGUUUUUUAAGAAUUGGAUUUUUAUGAUUAAAUGUUAUAUUAAAUUGAUUGGGGUGAUCAAUAAAAUUUAGAACAUUAUUUUUUAUUGAACAUUAAUGAGUGAAUAUUUUGAUUUUUUUGUAGGAAUUAUUAGAUUAAAUUACCUUAGGGAUAACAGCGUUAUGUUAUUUAGAAGUUCAUAUUUAUAAUAACGAUUGCGACCUCGAUGUUGAAUUAAGAAAUUAUUAUAAAAGUAGAAGUUUAUAAUUUUAGUCUGUUCGACUAUUAAAUUC